GUCUACAGCCAUGCCACCCUGAACAAGCCUGAUGUCUGAUCUCAGAAGCUAAGCAGGAUCAGGCCUGGUUAGUACUUGCAUGGGAGACCACCUAGGAAGACCAGGUGCUGUAGGCA
rnacentral:rRNA from 1 species